UAAGGAAUAUUGGGCAAUGGACGCAAGUCUGACCCAGCCAUGCCGCGUGAAGGAUGAAGGCCCUAUGGGUUGUAAACUUCUUUUAUACGGGAAAAAACCACCGGUCGUGUAUCGGUGCCGAUGGUACCGUAAGAAUAAGCAUCGGCUAACUCCGUGCCAGCAGCCGCGGUAAUACGGAGGAUGCAAGCGUUAUCCGGAUUCAUUGGGUUUAACGGGUGCGCAGGCGGAUUAAUAAGUCAGUGGUGAAAUCCUACGGCUCAACUGUAGAACUGCCAUUGAUACUGUGAGUCUUGAGUAUGGUUGAGGGAGGCGGAAUGUGUCAUGUAGCGGUGAAAUGCUUAGAUAUGACACAGAACACCAAUCGCGAAGGCAGCUUACCAAGCAAUAACUGACGCUCAUGCACGAAAGCGUGGGGAUCAAACA
rnacentral:rRNA from 1 species